GGCGGGGAGACACCGAGCGGCGACACUGCCAAGCCUCUAACCUGCCUCUGUGCAAUGGGGACAACGCUUUCUGCCCCGUCACCCCGGGUGUGACACAGUGCUACGGAGCCUCUGAUCCGAUGGACCAACCCAAGAACAGAUGAAAUGGCCGCCAGGAGAACAAUGCCAGAAGUCCCGCCCCUGAGUGGCGCGUAAUACACGGAAACGUCCCUCUCCAGUUCUUCAUUGGCCCAGCGACACUGAUGCUCACGGUGGAGAGCCUUCUGGUUGUAUAGUGCCAUGAUGCGACUCAAGAUUGGACUUCACUUAUAGAACCCUGUCAUCCCUGCCCAGAGAACUAAUGGAUUUGAACCUUGCAAAUCCUUUGAACUCCUCUCUUAUUCAUGAAUUCGGGAAUGCUUUGGUGAAUUCAAUUCUCCAAACAGUGCUCUCGGCAUCAUCUCUGUUACAGCAUGGCACUGUUGUGGGUGCAAGAGGCACAUCAGUAACCGAAGAGACAUAGACCCCUGUCCUCAUGUG